rnacentral:rRNA from 1 species
CCGCCGCCGGCCGUAUUCAACCUGCAAGUAAUUUUGAAGCCUGAUUUGAAUCAUAAUGAAAAGCAAAACUUUCAACAACGGAUCUCUUGGGUCUGGCAACGAUGAAACGCAGGAAACGCGAAAGGUAAUGCGAAUUGCAGAAUCAGUGAGUCAUCGAAUUUUUGAACGCACAUUGCACCCCUUGGUAUUCCGGGGGGUACGCCUGUUCGAGCGCCAUCACACACCCCAAGCUCUGCUUGAUGUUGGACGAUGCCUUGGCCCUUUCUGGGCCGGGGCACGUCUGGAACCCGUGGGCGCCCCCGCCGAACCACGAGCGUAGCAAGACGCAAGUCACUCGCUUCUGUCGGUCUCGGUGGAGGGUCUGCCUAAUCCAUUUCUGAAGAUUGGCCUCGGAUCAGGUGGGGAUACCCGCUGAACUUAAGCAUAUCAAUAAGCGGAGGAAAAGAAACCAACAGGGAUUGCCUCAGUAACGGCGAGUGAAGGCAACAGCUCAAAUUUGAAAUCUG